rnacentral:rRNA from 1 species
CCUACGGGAGACAGCAGUAGGGAAUAUUGCGCAAUGGGCGAAAGCCUGACGCAGCAACGCCGCGUGAGUGAUGAAGGCCUUCGGGGUGUAAAGAUCUGUCAGUGGGGAAGAAAAUUGAGGGAACCGACAGAGGAAGCACGGGCAAACACGGGGCCAGCAGCCGCGGUAAAACGGAGGGGGCACUCGUUGUCCGGAAUCAUGGGGGGUAAGGUGUUCGUAGGGGGCUUAUAAAGUCGGGGGUUAAAUGCAGAAGCUCAACUUCUGUUCGGCACUGGAUACUGGUAAGCUUGAAUGCGGUAGAGGUAACCGGAAUUCCUGGUGUAGCGGUGAAAUGCGUCGAUAUCAGGAGGAACACCAGUGGCGUAGGCGCUUUACUGGGCCGUAAUUGACACUGAGGCACGAAAGCCUGGGUAGCAAAUAGGAUUAGAUACCCGUGUAGUC